rnacentral:misc_RNA from 1 species
AAGUCGUAACAAGGUUUCCGUAGGUGAACCUGCGGAAGGAUCAUUAACGAGUACGGGUCCAUCAGGGCCCCAACUCCCACCCUUUGUUGUCGCGAAUCUGUUGCCUCGGCGGGUAGGCGGCCCUCAAAAGCCGCCGCCGGGCUCCGGCCACCCCGCCGCGGGACUAUACCAACCCUGCUUUAACCAUGAAGUCGGAGUGAUUUAAACAAAUGAAUCAAAA